rnacentral:tRNA from 1 species
UAUUACUUGGCAGAAUUUUCAUGCAAAUGAUUUAGGGUCAUUUUAUACAUUAUAUGUAGUAAUAU